ACUACAUCUGCCCCAGUUGUCAUGGCCUCCUCCAGUUAUCCACUUCCUUCAGCUUGAUAGGGUCACAGGGGUGCUGGAGCCUGUUCCAGCUGUCACUGGACGAGAGGCGGACUACACCGUGAACUGGUCGCCAGUGCAGCGGAGGGCUGACACAGAGAGACAGACAUGCACACCUAUGGCCAAUUCAGAAUCACCAAUGAGCAUGUCUUUGGAUGGUGGGAGGAAGCUGAGUACCGAGAAAGAACCCAAAGGGGGAACAUGCAAAUUCCACACAGUAAGGCCCCAGUCGGAUUCAAACCCAGACCUUCUUGUUGUGAGGCAUCAGUGCUGACCACCGCACUACGUACUGCCCAGAAAUUACAUUACAGAAAAAAAUAAAAUAAAAUGUUGUACUGAUUUUAACUUCUGGCUUCAUGGGAGUUUUUAAUAGAUGUUAAAUCAUAAACAACUCCAAAAUGGAGAGUCUUUCAGUAAGAAAAGAAAUAACAAAAAACAAGUAUUUUGAUUAUGAACUUUUAAUAUUUUAUGCUGUCAUUUUACAUACAACAGUCUUUUGUGCAAGAUAACCAUUUUAGCAUGUUUUCAGAAAGACAGACUUCAGAGACUGCACAGCAUGUACCAUCAUCCUACCAUAGACCUCUUCCUCCCUCUUAACCGAACUUCAUCAAGCUUUUUAAUAACAAC